UACGUAGGUGACAAGCGUUGUCCGGAUUUACUGGGCGUAAAGAGCGCGCAGGCGGUCGAUCAAGUCGAGUGUGAAAGCCCCCGGCUCAACUGGGGAGGGUCAUUCGAUACUGAUCGACUCGAAGGCAGGAGAGGGUAGUGGAAUUCCCGGUGUAGUGGUGAAAUGCGUAGAUAUCAGGAGGAACACCGGUGGUGUAGACGGCUUUCUGGACCGUAACUGACGCUGAGACACGAAAGCGUGGGUAGCAAACAGG
rnacentral:rRNA from 1 species